rnacentral:rRNA from 1 species
UCAGUAACGGCGAGUGAAGCGGGAAGAGCUCAAAUUUAAAAUCUGGUUUACUUGUAAGCCCGAGUUGUAGUCUGAAGAAACGUUUUCCAUAAGCACUGAGGCAAAAGUCCCUUGGAACAGGGCAUCAUAGAGGGUGAGAAUCCCGUCCAUGGUCUCAAGUUGUUUAUUUUGUGAUACGUUUUCAAAGAGUCAGGUUGUUUGGGAAUGCAGCCUAAAAUGGGUGGUAAAUUUCAUCUAAAGCUAAAUAUUGGCGAGAGACCGAUAGCGAACAAGUACCGUGAGGGAAAGAUGAAAAGAACUUUGAAAAGAGAGUUAAACAGUACGUGAAAUUGUUGAAAGGGAACCGUUUGAAGCCAGUCUUACUUGCUCGUGAUCAAUUUUUGCCUCGGCAUGAAUGCACUCUCGGGUAUGGUAGGCCAACGACAGUUUAGAAUGCGAGAAAAAAAUAGGGGAAAUGUGGCCUUCGGGUGUUAUAGUCCCUUAUAAAAUAUCGUGUUCUGGACUGAGGAUCGCAGCAAAAAUGUGGGCAGGUGGAUUUCUGUGGUAACUGUCGGUUAGGACAACUUGUUGACCUAGUCUUCCUUAGCCUCACUAUUUACCUUGCUUCUAAUUUGCUUAGGUCGUUGGCAUAAUGGCUUUAAAU